GAGUUCUUAGCACUUUACUACAAUUGACGCCGGUUGUCCGCACAAUCACGCUUGAGCGGGCUGGGCUAUAGAGGGAGCUGCCAGUGUGCGUUUUUUUUUUUAGGGUUUCUAAAGUUUGUAACGACCGUUCUUCAAUCAGCCAGCUGAGGGGACCCGAAAGACAGGAAAGAGGAAGCAAGCCAAGAAGAGGCAAGGAUUGAAGAGCUGAGGCCUUCUAGUUCAUAACACACCAAUGUCUUUGUAUGUGGGUCACCUUUCACCUCAUGUCCGACAAGAUGAGCUUGAACGGGUUUUCCGGAGAUUUGGCCGUUGUCAUUUUCAGUUGAAAGAUGGAUAUGGAUUUGUGGUGUAUGAAGUCGCUGCAAAUGCAGAAAGGGCUUUGCGAGCACUGCGGGGCAAACAAAUUUGUGGGGAGCAAAUAUCUCUGAACUGGUCAAACAAACAGCCUAGGCCUUUUCAAAGGCCUACAAGGGGUUCUAGAUUUGAUGAACCCUUUCGGAGAAGGAUUUUCAAGGAAGAUGAUGAUGUUACUGUGUUUAGGAGUUCACAAGAUCGAAGGGAUUUUUCUACAGAUAUUCAUAGUCCACCUUAUAAUUUUGGAGGGCGUCGGAUUGAUGAUGCACCUGAUAAAGAAGCAGGUCAUACUCGUGAAGAUGUUGAUAGUGUUAGAGAAAACAGAAGUGAGAAUUUGACAGGUGCAUUAAUGGAUGAAGACGCAGGUGAACAAAAUCCAUUGGAACUUGAUCGUUGGGGUGAGCCUACCAGUGAUAUGUUGCCCGGUCAUGGAGCUGGGAAGGGUUAUGAUUUUGAUCGUUAUGAACCAUACCAUGGUUACAGCAAGAGAGAUGAGAAAGAAGGUAACCAAAGAGCCAGCUCAGACAGUUCUCCCUAUAGAAUUCAUCUAAAAGGACAUAGAGAGCACUUCAUUGCGGAAGGUGAGAGGAAUUUUGAUAAAUCCAUGCACCAUGUAGCCUGUUACAAUUGUGGUCAAGUGGGUCAUAUUAAGAGGAAAUGCCCUGAAGGAAAUGAUAGGAGAGAGAGAUUUACUAAGUUUGAACAGACGAGGGAUGAAAUGAGUUUUAGAGAUAAAGUGGAAGGAAGACUAAAAAGGUUUCAAGCCAAUUCAUGGGGAAGGCCAAGCACCAGCAGAGAUCCGUUUAUAGCUAGACGUCGGACAUGGGAUAGAAAGGAGUUACAUUCCAAUAACUCCAUAAGGACAGGAAGUUCUCUAGAAAGAAGGGAUAAACACAGAUCCAAGCUGCGUUCUCGGUCUCAAACUAAGAAGGUAACAAAGAAGAAAUACUCAUCAAAGAAAAGACCAGAGAAAAAAAGAAGAGCAAAAGCAUCUGACACUUCAUCAAUGUCUUCUGAUUCUUCUAAAUCAAGCUCAGGACGUUCACAUUCAAAAUCUAUUUCUGGUAGCAGAUCUCGUUCAACAUCUAGAGCGUCUUCUAGAUCCCAUCCAGCAUCUUCUAGGUCAAGGUCUGUUUCGGACUCAUCUUAUGCCAAAUCUAAAAGUUCUAGAUCAAGGUCUAAAUCUUUGUCAAGAUCUAAGUCAAGGUCAAGUCCACUGAGGUCACUGUCGCUCUCUAUCUCAUUGGGUCGGAAGUCAUCAUCUUCACCAAAGAAUAUAGAAGGAAACGUUUCUAUAACUAACACCCUGAAGAACAACUCUGAGCAUAUGGAAUGCCUAGAGUCCAAGCAAUCGUCUAAAAUGACCAACUCUGAAGUAAAGACCUUGAAAGAUGCAAAUUCAUUAUCUCCAUUGGGUGUUGAGAGUCAAUUUAAUGCAGAAUAUUCUGGAAAAAAUAGUGUCAGUUCUUAUAAAUCUGAUUUGAAAACUGCAUAUAAUGAAACUGAUGCAUGUUUUGACUUGCUCAAUGGUGCUGCUUCUGCUUCUGGAAAUUAUCCGGAGACAAGUGCACUGCAGAAUUCUCUUAUGAUGAAGCCAGCAGAACAAGCAGCAGUUGGCCCUACUACGAUAUCAACAGGGGAAAUGCUCUCAGCACUUCAUCAUUAUGGACUGGUGUCACAUAAGGAGGAUGAGUUGGAUAUUCCAGUUGAGGGCUACUUUGGUGCUGCUCGGCUAUGGCCAUGGGAGAUGAUAUACUAUCGGCGAUUGAAAAGGGGACCGAUUACCACUGAAAAUUAUGCCAAGAGGCUUGAACAAAACAGGGAAUUUGGUAUUGUCGAUAAGUACGUUAGAAGCAGUAGUGGUUGGGGAGAACGUCAAAGGAAUCCAUGAUCAGGAUGGACAUUUGAGUGUUAUGUCGUUGAUAGUGUUUUGUCAAAAUCUAUGAUUUUGUGGUAAGGUGCACCUUAUCAGGUAAAGGAUUUACAAUGCUAUUAUUUACUGAACAGUUCAAAGCUGUGUUUGACACAAACAUUUGUAGCUGCUUAGACUUAAGUGAAAGUUUCUUAUGUGGACUAGAAGUUGUGGUCAUUCAAAGUUGGUUGUUGCGCUAUCUUGCAUAUUUAGUAAUUUGUGCAUCUAGUAGAUUUUGCUCUUCCUGAGGCCUCCAAAUGUGCACUCUUAUAGUUGCUUUUUCAGAAUGAGCUUAGCAACUGACUUGAAGCUACUGAUCAUCAUCAUCCUGAUUAACCUUAUCCCAACUAUUUAUGAAGCUUGAAGCGAAAGAUCAGAUGGUAGAAUGUUGGUGGCAGCAAAUAAUUUUGUGGUACUUUUAUGCAAAGGACAUGAUUCCUCAUAAUAAUCUUUAUUUCUUUCUAUGCAAGUAUGGGAACUGCACGUAAUUGCCAAUGUUAAAAGUGAUUUCACGAGUGCAGCUUCGGCUUUACAGUUAACAAUAAAGGAGUUUGUGAUUCAGGAAGUAGAUUUUGUCUUUCAAUAGCUCGUGCUGCUGGUAGGUUCGCAGUUUGAUGAGGCACCUGUUUUACAUGACAUUGUAAAUCUACCUAUAGAUUUUGUUUACUGAAUGAUUAGUAAGGUUUUGAGCUAGAUGAUUUGCUGACUCCAGAGUAUUACUAGGGGGAACUCUGGAAGGAUGAUUUGUAUUUUUAAGUGUAACUAGAAUCUAAGAGAUGUAUUUCAAAUAAUUUGAAGAUGUCCGGAAAGUUUAUCAAA